AGUGUCCCUUGAGAGCUCUCCCUGACCUGAAGCUCCUCUGCUGUCCCCUCUCCAAGUUCACCUUCUGCUCCCCGAAAAUACCAACUACCAGAAACGGGACCGCCAAUGGUCAGAAGCUACUGGCUCACUCCCACCGCGCUGUUCCCUGCCAAGUGCACCUUUAAAGAAAGGGCCAAAGGAGUCUGUGCAGUCAGAUGGAUACCAGAGAGCUUGCCUGUCCUCCGGGAAGAACAAAAAAUGAAGAUACAACACACAUCGUGAGAGAUUGGGAUUUGGAGGAGGCUUCAGCGUUCCCCCACUGGGCUGCUGACCCACGCGUCCGGGAGGAUGGAGAGUGGAGUUAAUGUGGUUUUCUAAGCCAGGUCCCGUUUUCCAGAUGACGUAAAUAAGGCCCUGAAGAAUUUCUCCAUCAGGUCAACGUUUAGGAUGUAAAUAUGACAUGUCUCCUUACAGCUUUCA